rnacentral:rRNA from 1 species
UACGUAGGGGGCAAGCGUUGUCCGGAAUCAUUGGGCGUAAAGCGCGUGUAGGCGGCUUGGUAAGUCUGCUCUGAAAGCCCGGGGCUCAACCCCGGGAGGCGGGUGGAUACUGUCAAGCUCGAGUCCGGAAGAGGAGUGUGGAAUUCCUGGUGUAGCGGUGAAAUGCGCAGAUAUCAGGAAGAACACCCGUGGGCGAAGGCGGUUCUCUGGGACGGUACUGACGGCUGAGACGCGAAAGCGUGGGGAGCGAACAGG